AGAGUUUGAUCCUGGCUCAGGAUGAACGCUAGCGACAGGCUUAACACAUGCAAGUCGAGGGGCAGCGGGGGUGAGAGCUUGCUCUCACCUGCCGGCGACCGGCGCACGGGUGAGUAACACGUAUGCAACCUGCCUGUCACUGGGGGAUAAGCGGAAGAAAUUCCGUCUAAUACCGCAUAAUAUCCCUGAGGGACAUCCCUUAGGGAUUAAAGGAGCGAUCCGGUGACAGAUGGGCAUGCGGCGCAUUAGCUAGACGGCGGGGUAACGGCCCACCGUGGCGACGAUGCGUAGGGGUUCUGAGAGGAAGGUCCCCCACACUGGUACUGAGACACGGACCAGACUCCUACGGGAGGCAGCAGUGAGGAAUAUUGGUCAAUGGAAGAGAUUCUGAACCAGCCAAGCCGCGUGAGGGAAGACGGCCCUACGGGUUGUAAACCUCUUUUGUCGGGGAACAAAGAGCGGGACGUGUCCCGCGUUGAGUGUACCCGAAGAAAAAGCAUCGGCUAACUCCGUGCCAGCAGCCGCGAUAAUACGGAGGAUGCGAGCGUUAUCCGGAUUUAUUGGGUUUAAAGGGUGCGCAGGCGGCGGAUCAAGUCAGCGGUCAAAUUGCGGGGCUCAACCCCGUACUGCCGUUGAAACUGGUCCGCUUGAGUUGGAGAGAAGUAGGCGGAAUGCGCGGUGUAGCGGUGAAAUGCAUAGAUAUCGCGCAGAACUCCGAUUGCGAAGGCAGCCUACCGGCUCCAUACUGACGCUGAGGCACGAAAGCGUGGGGAUCGAACAGGAUUAGAUACCCUGGUAGUCCACGCAGUAAACGAUGAAUGCUGGUUGUCCGGACCGAUUGGGGUCUGGGCGGCGAAGCGAAAGCGAUAAGCAUUCCACCUGGGGAGUACGCCGGCAACGGUGAAACUCAAAGGAAUUGACGGGGGCCCGCACAAGCGGAGGAACAUGUGGUUUAAUUCGAUGAUACGCGAGGAACCUUACCCGGGCUCAAACGGGAGCGGAAUGUCGCAGAGACGCGACAGUCUACGGACCGCUUCCGAGGUGCUGCAUGGUUGUCGUCAGCUCGUGCCGUGAGGUGUCGGCUUAAGUGCCAUAACGAGCGCAACCCCCGCCGACAGUUGCUAACUGGUCAAGCAGAGGACUCUGUCGGGACUGCCGGCGCAAGCCGCGAGGAAGGCGGGGAUGACGUCAAAUCAGCACGGCCCUUACGUCCGGGGCGACACACGUGCUACAAUGGUCGGUACAGCGGGAAGCCAGGCGGCGACGCCGAGCGGAACCCGAAAGCCGGUCUCAGUUCGGAUCGGAGUCUGCAACCCGACUCCGUGAAGCUGGAUUCGCUAGUAAUCGCGCAUCAGCCAUGGCGCGGUGAAUACGUUCCCGGGCCUUGCACACACCGCCCGUCA
rnacentral:rRNA from 1 species